rnacentral:snRNA from 1 species
AUACUUAUGUGGCAGGGGAAAUACCAUGAUCACGAAGUUGGUUUUCCCAGGGUGAGGCUUAUUUAUUGUACUCUGGAAGUGCUGACCCCUGCAAUUGCCCCAAAUGUGGGAAACGCGACUGCAACUUGUAGUGGUAAGAGACUGUAUGCUCUCUCC